CCCCCAGCCCGAAUCGCAAGAAAUCUAGCGAGCGUCAUUUCGCUGCAUCACAAGCCAUUUGAUCUGAGCCACUGAAACCGCCUCUGCUUGAAUGGUACAGCACUGAAUAGAACCGAGGACGAGCAAGGUAUCGUGGACGAGGGCUUGCAUGCUUACCUUUGUCAGACAUACGUAUUUCCGUAUAUUGAGACUGACAAGCUCGCAAGGCCCUUUAAAGGCAUGGACCAAAGAGAACGAAGGUGGUAGUGACUAGAGUGGAAAUUACAGGUACAGAUGAAGAAGCAAGCGUUGUUCUAAUGGCUGCUUGUUCAAAAGGAACAGCGCUAAAAAGCGCAUGGAAGACGAAUGAUUCAAGAUUGUGUGCAAUCUCGCAAUGAGCGAAUGGCAAAGCAGACGACACCUCUGCUGAUAUGAAAAGGAAGGCUGAAUGGCUACUUCUGUGAAUAAAGAUUCUUCAUUGUAAA